AAAACAUUAUCUUGAUCAGUUUGCCGCGCGCGCGCGUCGUCUGUCAGUCCGCGCGGAAUAGGUCUGUCUGGACAUGCACCUGAUGAUCUGAUGAUAUCUCGACACACCGAUUAAACCGAUUCGUGUGGUGCGCGCGCGCCGCUUUUUGCAGACCUCACUUCUUCUGCUGACGGUGUUGGUGAUGAUGCGCCGAUUAAAGGUGUGAAAUAGUAUCGAAAUCGUGCAAUUGAGAAGGUUGAGUGAGGAAAUAGAAAGAAAAAAGAUGAUGUCGCUCGGAAUACUAGUGAUUCACCUAUUCGGAAUUCCAUUUUCUGAGACUCUAUGA
ensembl:ncRNA F28A12.7 ncRNA